rnacentral:rRNA from 1 species
UACGAGGGGGGCGAGCGUUGUUCGGAAUUAUUGGGCGUAAAGGGCGCGUAGGCGGUCGGAUAAGUCUUGUGUGAAAUCCUCGGGCUCAACUCGAAGUCUGCACAGGAAACUAUCUGGCUUGAGUGUGGGAGAGGUGAGUGGAAUUCCUGGUGUAGCGGUGAAAUGCGUAGAUAUCAGGAGGAACACCUGUGGCGAAAGCGGCUCACUGGACCACAACUGACGCUGAGGCGCGAAAGCUAGGGGAGCAAACAGG